GGAGUGGAUUGUGAGAUUCCACACAUGAACAAACAUUCCUUAUUAGUGUGUGGAAAUCUCUCCCUAUUAAACGCAUUUUAAAACCGUGAGAUUGACGAUGAUAUAUAACAGGGGAAAGCGGACAAUAUCUGCUAACAGUAAGUUUGAGCUGUUAUAAAUGAUAUUAGAGCUAGGAACCGAGUAGUGUGCCAAUAAAGACACUAGUCCCCUAAAGGGGUGGAUUAUGAGAUCUUGUAUCGGUUGGAGAGAGGAACGAGCAUUUCUUACAGGGGUAUGGAAACCACUCCCUAACAUAUACGUUUUAAAAUUGUGAGACUGACG